AGAGUGGAAUUCCACGUGUAGCGGUGAAAUGCGUAGAGAUGUGGAGGAACACCAGUGGCGAAGGCGACUCUCUGGUCUGUAACUGACGCUGAGGAGCGAAAGCGUGGGGAGCGAACAGGAUUAGAUACCCUGGUAGUCCACGCCGUAAACGAUGAGUGCUAAGUGUUAGGGGGUUUCCGCCCCUUAGUGCUGCAGCUAACGCAUUAAGCACUCCGCCUGGGGAGUACGGUCGCAAGACUGAAACUCAAAGGAAUUGACGGGGGCCCGCACAAGCGGUGGAGCAUGUGGUUUAAUUCGAAGCAACGCGAAGAACCUUACCAGGUCUUGACAUCCUCUGACAAUCCUAGAGAUAGGACGUCCCCUUCGGGGGCAGAGUGACAGGUGGUGCAUGGUUGUCGUCAGCUCGUGUCGUGAGAUGUUGGGUUAAGUCCCGCAACGAGCGCAACCCUUGAUCUUAGUUGCCAGCAUUCAGUUGGGCACUCUAAGGUGACUGCCGGUGACAAACCGGAGGAAGGUGGGGAUGACGUCAAAUCAUCAUGCCCCCUUAUGACCUGGGCUACACACGUGCUACAAUGGACAGAACAAAGGGCAGCGAAACCCGCGAGGGUUAAGCCAAUCCCCACA
rnacentral:rRNA from 1 species